rnacentral:rRNA from 1 species
GACGAACGCUGGCGGCGCGCCUAACACAUGCAAGUCGAACGAGAGAUGAGGAGCUUGCUCUUCAAAUCGAGUGGCGAACGGGUGAGUAACGCGUGAGGAACCUGCCUCAAAGAGGGGGACAACAGUUGGAAACGACUGCUAAUACCGCAUAAGCCCACGGCUCGGCAUCGAGCAGAGGGAAAAUGAGCAAUCCGCUUUGAGAUGGCCUCGCGUCCGAUUAGCUAGUUGGUGAGGUAACGGCCCACCAAGGCGACGAUCGGUAGCCGGACUGAGAGGUUGAACGGCCACAUUGGGACUGAGACACGGCCCAGACUCCUACGGGAGGCAGCAGUGGGGAAUAUUGCACAAUGGGGGAAACCCUGAUGCAGCGACGCCGCGUGGAGGAAGAAGGUCUUCGGAUUGUAAACUCCUGUUGUUGAGGAAGAUAAUGACGGUACUCAACAAGGAAGUGACGGCUAACUACGUGCCAGCAGCCGCGGUAAAACGUAGGUCACAAGCGUUGUCCGGAAUUACUGGGUGUAAAGGGAGCGCAGGCGGGAGAACAAGUUGGAAGUGAAAUCCAUGGGCUCAACCCAUGAACUGCUUUCAAAACUGUUUUUCUUGAGUAGUGCAGAGGUAGGCGGAAUUCCCGGUGUAGCGGUGGAAUGCGUAGAUAUCGGGAGGAACACCAGUGGCGAAGGCGGCCUACUGGGCACCAACUGACGCUGAGGCUCGAAAGUGUGGGUAGCAAACAGGAUUAGAUACCCUGGUAGUCCACACCGUAAACGAUGAUUACUAGGUGUUGGAGGAUUGACCCCUUCAGUGCCGCAGUUAACACAAUAAGUAAUCCACCUGGGGAGUACGACCGCAAGGUUGAAACUCAAAGGAAUUGACGGGGGCCCGCACAAGCAGUGGAGUAUGUGGUUUAAUUCGACGCAACGCGAAGAACCUUACCAAGUCUUGACAUCCCUUGACGAUGCUGGAAACAGUAUUUCUCUUCGGAGCAAGGAGACAGGUGGUGCAUGGUUGUCGUCAGCUCGUGUCGUGAGAUGUUGGGUUAAGUCCCGCAACGAGCGCAACCCUUAUGGUCAGUUACUACGCAAGAGGACUCUGGCCAGACUGCCGUUGACAAAACGGAGGAAGGUGGGGAUGACGUCAAAUCAUCAUGCCCUUUAUGACUUGGGCUACACACGUACUACAAUGGCGUUAAACAAAGAGAAGCAAGACCGCGAGGUGGAGCAAAACUCAGAAACAACGUCCCAGUUCGGACUGCAGGCUGCAACUCGCCUGCACGAAGUCGGAAUUGCUAGUAAUCGUGGAUCAGCAUGCCACGGUGAAUACGUUCCCGGGCCUUGUAC